GACGAACGCUGGCGGCGUGCUUAACACAUGCAAGUCGAACGAAGUGGCGAACGGGUGAGUAACGCGUAAUCAACCUGCCCUUCAGAGGGGGACAACAGUUGGAAACGACUGCUACUACCGCAUACUGAAGGCUGGGAUUGCGUCUGAUUAGCUAGUUGGAGGGGUAACGGCCCACCAAGGCGAUGAUCAGUAGCCGGUCUGAGAGGAUGAUCCGCCACACUGGGACUGAGACACGGCCCAGACUCCUACGGGAGGCAGCAGUGGGGAAUGUUGGACAAUGGGCGCAAGCCUGAUCCAGCCAUGCCGCGUGUCUGAAGAAGGCCUUCGGGUUGUAAAGGACUUUUGUCAGGGAAGCGGUACCUGAAGAAUAAGCACCGGCUAACUACGUGCCAGCAGCCGCGGUAAUAC
rnacentral:rRNA from 1 species